rnacentral:rRNA from 1 species
AACGAACGCUGGCGGCAGGCUUAACACAUGCAAGUCGAGCGCCCCGCAAGGGGAGCGGCAGACGGGUGAGUAACGCGUGGGAAUCUACCCAUCCCUACGGAACAACUCCGGGAAACUGGAGCUAAUACCGUAUACGCCCUUUGGGGGAAAGAUUUAUCGGGGAUGGAUGAGCCCGCGUUGGAUUAGCUAGUUGGUGGGGUAAAGGCCUACCAAGGCGACGAUGCAUAGCUGGUCUGAGAGGAUGAUCAGCCACAUUGGGACUGAGACACGGCCCAAACUCCUACGGGAGGAAGCAGUGGGGAAUAUUGGACAAUGGGCGCAAGCCUGAUCCAGCCAUGCCGCGUGAGUGAUGAAGGCCCUAGGGUUGUAAAGCCCUUUCAGCGGGGAAGAUAAUGACGGUACCCGCAGAAGAAGCCCCGGCUAACUUCGUGCCAGCAGCCGCAGUAAUAC